rnacentral:rRNA from 1 species
GAUGAACGCUGGCGGCGUGCUUAACACAUGCAAGUCGAACGGUGAAGCAGAGCUUGCUCUGUGGAUCAGUGGCGAACGGGUGAGUAACACGUGAGCAACCUGCCCUGGACUCUGGGAUAAGCGCUGGAAACGGCGUCUAAUACUGGAUACGAGACGUGGCCGCAUGGUCAACGUUUGGAAAGAUUUUUUGGUUCAGGAUGGGCUCGCGGCCUAUCAGCUUGUUGGUGAGGUAAUGGCUCACCAAGGCGUCGACGGGUAGCCGGCCUGAGAGGGUGACCGGCCACACUGGGACUGAGACACGGCCCAGACUCCUACGGGAGGCAGCAGUGGGGAAUAUUGCACAAUGGGCGAAAGCCUGAUGCAGCAACGCCGCGUGAGGGAUGACGGCCUUCGGGUUAUAAACCUCUUUUAGCAAGGAAGAAGCGAAAGUGACGGUACUUGCAGAAAAAGCGCCGGCUAACUACGUGCCAGCCGCCGCAGUAA